CGAACGGCUAUUUUCCUUGCCUACCUCCUCGUCGGCGUCGCUCCGAUUUCUAGGAUUCGAGUUCGAGUUGCCGGCGAUCUCCUCGUUUCUUUUCCUCUACUUGGUGGUCUUCGCAACCUUUCUGUUGGUGGAUCAGUGGAGGAUAGGUAGGUGUGAUGAUGAGGAGAUCGAAGUUGGAGCCGACCUAUUAUCCUUUUACCCGCAAGAGGUUCCUGCACUUCCUCCUCCUUCUCGGGCUGCUGUACUUCUCUUUCCUCCUCCUAUGUGAGUUCCCUUUCGUCUCCCGCCGCUUCACGCCACUGGCCGCCGCUGGCAGCCUCCGCGGGGGCGACGCGGUGGCCCGCCCAAUCUCCCUACACAGCAAGGAGGAGACCCAAGAGACGCAUGCCCCAGUUCGUCCCUUUUUAUUCCCUUAUCGGCAGGUGGCUUCCGCCUCCGCUCCUCUCCCGCAUCGCUCGCGGCCGAGCCGGCGAUCGCUGGUUGUCUCCGGUUUGGCGCAGCUGGAGCUUAACUCAAGAAGUAAUGGAUCUUUUUCGGAGCUCCAUAAAUCGGCGUGGGACGCGUGGGAGGUAGGAAGGAGGGUUUUUGAAGACCUGAAGGCUUCUCCGGCGCCGCCGGCGGAGUCUCCAGCGCAGGAGAUUCGGGCCGAAGAGAACUGCCCGAACUCGAUCAUGAUAUCUGGUGCGGAGCUCCAGGAGCGAGGGAGAUUGAUGGUGCUUCCUUGCGGGCUGACGUUGGGGUCCCAUAUCACCCUGGUGGCGAGGCCGCGAAGGGCACACCCCGACCAUGACCCAAAGAUAACGGAUUUGAAAGACUGGGAGCAGGACACGAUGGUUUCUCAGUUCAUGAUGGAGCUAAAGGGGCUUAAAUAUGCGGAUGGCGAAGAUCCUCCAAGGAUUCUCCACUUUAACCCCAGGUUAAAGGGUGAUUGGAGCGGUAAGCCAGUGAUUGAGCUGAAUUCCUGCUACCGCAUGCAGUGGGGUUCCGCUCAGCGGUGCGAGGGCUGGAAGUCCAAGUCUAGUGAAGAGACAGUUGAUGGUCUGGUUAAGUGUGAAGGGUGGACUCGGGAUGAAGAUAGCCCCGUGGAAGAACCAAAGAAGUCAUGGUGGUUCAAGAGAUUAAUUGGUCGGGUGAAAGUCUCGUUUGAUUGGCCAUAUCCAUUUGUGGAGGACAAAUUGUUUGUUUUGACAUUAACUGCUGGUUUAGAGGGUUAUCAUAUUAAUGUUGGCGGGAGGCAUGUAACAUCCUUUCCAUACCGCACUAGUUUCACUCUUGAAGAUGCCACCGGCCUGUCAAUGAAUGGAGAUCUUGACAUUGAGUCCAUAUAUGCUGCUUCAUUGCCUGCUAAACAUCCUAGUUUUGCCCUGAAAAGGGAACUGGAGAUGUCUGCUCAGUGGCAAGCUCCUCCACUUGCUGAUGAACCUGUAGAUCUUUUCAUUGGCAUCCUUUCGGCAGGAAACCACUUUGCAGAACGUAUGGCGGUCAGAAAAUCAUGGAUGUCUGCAUUAACUAGAUCAUCUAAUGUGGUGGCGAGGUUCUUUGUUGCGCUGAAUGGAAGAAAGGAGGUGAACAUGCAAUUAAAAGAGGAGGCAGAAUUCUUUGGAGAUAUUGUUAUAGUACCUUACAUGGAUAGUUAUGAUCUAGUUGUUUUGAAGACUGUUGCUAUCUGUGAAUAUGGAGUUCGAACGGUGUCUGCUAAACAUAUAAUGAAGUGUGACGAUGACACAUUUGUGAGGGUUGACUCAGUACUCAAGGAAGUGAAGAAAAUCCCAUCUGUUAGAAGUCUUUACAUAGGGAACAUUAAUUAUUACCACAAACCUCUGCGCUCUGGGAAAUGGGCUGUGACAUAUGAGGAAUGGCCAGAGGAGAACUACCCACAUUAUGCUAAUGGUCCAGGCUAUGUUAUAUCUUCUGAUAUUGCAAAUUAUGUUGUGUCUGAGAUUGAGAAGCGCACACUGAGAUUAUUCAAGAUGGAAGACGUGAGCAUGGGCAUGUGGGUGGAGAAGUUCAACAAUUCUAAGCCAGUGGAGUACGUCCACAACCUCAAAUUCUGCCAGUUCGGUUGCAUUGAAGAUUACUACACCGCUCAUUACCAGUCUCCCAGGCAAAUGCUGUGCAUGUGGGAGAAAUUGCAGGCAGGGAACCCUCAAUGUUGCGACAUGAGAUGAUGAUAUCUCUGCGAAUAUCCAUCCUUUACCAAUUUUGCAAGUUGUAACAGGGCAAGCUCCAUUCUCGAGCUCCAUAUAGGUCGAUGUAUGAUCUAGUAGCCUCAAAGCCACUGACAAGGUGUCCACGAAGCGCCCACUCCCUUCGUAGUCAAACACUCACUGCCCGUCGAGUAGAAGAGCAAAGGGAGAGGAAAGAUCGGAAUCGCAGCAAUGGAGGGCGACGAAGGCGAGCAGU